GAUGAACGCUGGCGGCGUGCCUAAUACAUGCAAGUCGAACGAAUCACUUCGGUGGUUAGUGGCGAACGGGUGAGUAAUACGUAAGCAACCUGCCUAUGGGACUGGGAUAACGUUUGGAAACGGACGCUAAUACCGGAUAGGUAGAGAGGAGGCAUCUCUUCUCUAUUAAAGUUUAGAUACACCGAUAGAUGGGCUUACGGCGCAUUAGCUAGUUGGUGAGGUAACGGCUCACCAAGGCGAUGGGAUGCGUAGCCGGACUGAGAGGUUGAACGGCCACAUUGGGACUGAGACACGGCCCAAACUCCUACGGAGGCGAGCAGUAGGGAAUUUUCGGUCAAUGGGGGAAACCCGUGACCGAGCAACGCCGCGUGAGUGAA
rnacentral:rRNA from 1 species